rnacentral:misc_RNA from 1 species
AAGUCGUAACAAGGUUUCCGUAGGUGAACCUGCGGAAGGAUCAUUACAGAGAACAUCGCCCUCACGGGUGACUCUCCAACCCUGUGUUAUUGUACCUUUGUUGCUUUGGCGAGCCGCUUCGGCCACCGGCUUCUGCUGGUGUGUGCUCGCCAGAGGACCCCAAACUCUGAAUAUUAAUGUCGUCUGAGUACUAUAUAAUAGUUAAAACUUUCAACAACGGAUCUCUUGGUUCUG